ACUUAGUACAACCUCUUUGAAAAAAUGGUUUGGCAUUAUCUUGUAAAUUUAAACAGCAAUUCUACUCCUAAGUAUAUAACCAAAAGACACUCUUUUAGAUGUGUGCUGGGGGAAUGUACAAAAAAUGUUCAUAGCAGCAAUGCUUACAAUUGCAAAAAAAAUGAAAUAACUCAAAUGUCCACACAUGGGGUUUUAAACCAUACUGUCAAGGUAUAAGUUCCAGUUAUAUACUGCUGUAAAACAAAUCAUUGUUUAGUGGCUUAAAACAAUGAGAAUCAUUUUGUUAUCUUUCAUGGUUUCUGUUGGUCAGAAAUUUGGAUAGGUCAUAGAAGGAAUGGCUUGUCUCUCCUCCACAACAUCUGGGGACUCAGAUGGAAAGACUUGAAGAUUGCAGUGAUUCAACAGCUGGGAUCUAGAAUUAUCUGGAGAUGUCAGGAGUCACGUAGUUUGUGGUUGAUACUGGCUGUUGGCUAGGAUCUGAACUGGGCUGUUGGACAGAAAACCUACACAUGGCCUUUCCGUGUGGGAUAGUUUGGACUUUCUCAUAGCCUGGUGGCUGGGUUCCUAGAGUGUGUGCCCCUGAAGAGCAAAGCAGCAGUGCAUGAACUUUUUAUGAUUUAACCUUUAAAAUGACAGUGUUACUUCUGUCUUACUGUAUUGAUAGAGGCAGACACAAAGGUCCACCUAGGUUCAAGGGGAAGGGACGUGACACCACCACUCAAUGGGAAGAAUAUCAGGACAGCAUUGUAAGAAAAGCAUGUGGGAUGGGAGAUACUGUUGUGACUAUCUUUGAAAAAUACAACUUGCCACAGUCUACCCUCUGGCCACAACAAUUCAAAUCACUCUCAUACACAAAAUAUACUCAUCCCCUCCCCUGAGACUUCCAAGGCUUAUCCCAUUAUAGCGUCGGCUUGAAGUCCAUGAUCUCAUCAUUUAAAUCAGGUUCAAAUGUGAAUGAGGCUACUCUGAUGAGGUCCUUAAGGAUCAACUUGAGUAUAUUCUUCUCAAUCUGAAGAACUGUGGACUAAAGAGAUGUUUUCCGCUCCCCACAUAGGCAACAUAGAAUGGUAGGUUAGGCGUAUGUUCUAGACCCUUUGGUUCAUAAAGAGGAAAAUAGGAGGCAUAUAGCAGUCACUGGUCCCUAGUAAUUCUGAAAUCUAUUUGAGUGCAUAUUGCAAGUUCGUUUCAUAAUUAGGGCUCAGUUCUGCUCUCUGGGAAUUAUUGUACGUAACUCUUGGCUCUCCCCUCUGGGAUCUUGGGAUUUUGAUCUUACCUUCUGGGUCAUUCUUCUUUUUACAUGUAAAACAGCUCACGUUUACAGCCGAGUGAUUUUCUGAGCCUACCUUCUGCUUAGAGAAGUUUGGGGGUUCAAAGCCCUCUUCAUUUUGUAUUGUCUGUCUCUCUCAAUUGAAACUGGUAUAAUCCUUUGAAAACUUUGUGACCUUUUAUGUAUCAGUUUAUAAUCCACUCCAUUAAUCAAAAGCCAUGUCCACAGUGAUGUUUGAGAUAAGGUCUUCUCUACAUUGGGCUCCCAAGGAGGCUGCUUUGAAACAAUGCCUUUGAGAUAUUACGAAGCUCUGUUUCUUAACAGAGAGAAUCUGCAAGACAUGCCCUUCAAAUCAUUAUAAGGGAGGAGGCAUUUUGGAAUGGUGGAAUAAGGACCUCUGAAAAUCAGUUUCUCUAUAAAAGCAGCUAGAACACUGGAAAAGAAAUGCCAGAAUCAGUUUUUCAGAAUUCUGGAAAUUAACAAAAGACUUGUAACAAUUAGAUGAUUGUUUAUUUUAAGAAGCCAUCUUAGCAAAAACAGCAAGCUUUGUGAUAUUUUAACUUGCUCUUUUCCCAUCCACUCUCCUCAGCUCUGUGGUAGACUUGAAAACCAACAACCUUGGAACUAUGGAACCUGUGAAAACCAGUAGCCUAGCAAUCACUGAAGGGGGCAGAAUGGGUUUGUAGUGCCCCCAGAAGCCCCAUCUCCAAGAAUGAAUAGAGCAUUGUCAUCCCUUGACCAGUCUGGCAGCUUCCUGGAAAAGUCCCACUCAUAGCACUUAUCUUGAUUUGCCUGACUCAGAGUAGACUUAGUGAGGAAAGCUCUGUCCCUUGAGUAUUUGUUAAAAACAAUCAGCUGCAGUUGUUUAACAUCAUGCUACUUGAGGCAGUGAUACCACUUAGGGCAAGAGACUGACCCAAAACUUGAAAGAAAUAUCUGAGGAAUGAGAUGUACAUAGAGGGCUCCAUCCAAGAAACUCAACAAGCUCCAAGUAGGAUAAAUUCAAAGAUAUCUACACACGUCAUAGUCAAACUGUGAAAGUCAAAGACAAAGAGAGAAUAUUAAAAUAAGAGGGAAACAACUUAUCAUAUACAAGUAUUCCUCAAUAAGAUUAACAGCUGGCAUCAUGUCAGAAACUGUGGAGGCCAGAAGGCAGUGAAACGACAUAUCAAAGUACUGAAAGAGUCAUAGUGUUAACCAAGAAUUUUAUAUGGAGCAAGACCCUCCUUCAAAAAGGGAGAAAUUAUGGCAUUCCAAGAGAAACAAAAAAUUAAUAAAAAAAUUACUAGAACUUCCCUACAAAAAAUACUAAAGGGAGUCCUUCAGGCUGAAAUGAAAGGACACUCAACAGUAACUUGAAUCCACAUAAAGAAAUAACAUCGUAAAGGUAACUACAUAAGUAAAUAUAAAAAGCAGUAUAAAUAUAUUUUUGUUUGUAACUCUGUUCUUAUCUGAUUUAAAAGAAAAUGCGUAAAUCAAUAAUUAUAAAAUUGUGUUGAUGGGUUUACAAUGUAUAAAGAUACAAUUUAUAUGACAGUAAUAGCACAAAGGAGGCAGGGAGUGAAUAAAACCAUAUUAGAGCAAAGUUUUAUACUAUUGAAAUUAAGUUGGUAUUAAUCUAAAUGAGAAUGUUUUAGUUAAGAUGUUAAUUAUAAUAUUCCACCACUAAGGCAACCACUAAGAAAAUAACUAAAAAAAUGAAAGGAAACAACAAGGGAAUUAAAAUGGUACACUAGAAGAUAUCUGUUUGACGUAAAAGAAGGCAGUGAUGCAGUAAUAGAGGAACAAAACCCAUAAGACAUAUAGAAAACAAAUAGCAAAAUGGUAAGUGUAAAUUCUACCUUAUUAGUAGCUACAUUAAAUAUAAAUGUUCCCCAAAUGGGAACAACCCAAAUGUCCAUGAACUGAUGAAUGGAUAAAUAAAAUGAGAUAUAUGCAUACAAUGGAACAUUAUUUGACAAUAACACAAAAUAAAGUACAGAUACUAUUAGAUACCGAUAGAUACCGAUACUAUUACUUUUUUUUUUUUCUUUCAGAAUUGGAAACUAGGGCAUUAGAGAGGUUAAGUAAGCUGCCUAAGAUUACACAGCUAGUAAGUGGUGAAGCUGUGAUUCUCACCGAGGAGGAGGCCAUCAAGGCUGGAGCUGGUGGGUGAGGAUAAGAACAGCAGGCGCAGACUCACGGACCAUCAUUUUCCCCAACUUGCAAACAUUCUCCACAAGAGAGAACGAGAGCUUUCUGUGCGUCUUCUCAUAAUCAUUCCUCACUGGGGCCUGAAGGU